rnacentral:lncRNA from 1 species
GGUAGGCUUGAAAGAAAAGGAGAAAUGGGUUUUAGGUGUGGCGUGAAAAUAUUAAUAAAAUUUUAAAUGGGAUCUUGCUGAAUAGGAAAUCAACCAACAUACAUUUUUACAAAGCUCUCUUUUCCUUUUUUUUAACUUCGUAUAUUUUUUUACAAUAUAAUCGAAAUAAGCAAGCUUAUUUCAAUACUAGACCUUGAAUUUACGAUUUUUUUUAAAUUUAUUUUUACAAACCUACUCCGGAGUUGUUCCG